UUCCCCUUCGGGGGACAAAGUGACAGGUGGUGCAUGGUUGUCGUCAGCUCGUGUCGUGAGAUGUUGGGUUAAGUCCCGCAACGAGCGCAACCCUUAAGCUUAGUUGCCAUCAUUAAGUUGGGCACUCUAAGUUGACUGCCGGUGACAAACCGGAGGAAGGUGGGGAUGACGUCAAAUCAUCAUGCCCCUUAUGAUUUGGGCUACACACGUGCUACAAUGGACAAUACAAAGGGCAGCGAAACCGUGAGGUCAAGCAAAUCCCAUAAAGUUGUUCUCAGUUCGGAUUGUAGUCUGCAACUCGACUACAUGAAGCUGGAAUCGCUAGUAAUCGUAGAUCAGCAUGCUACGGUGAAUACGUUCCCGGGUCUUGUACACACCGCCCGUCACACCACGAGAGUUUGUAACACCCGAAGCCGGUGGAGUAACCUUUUAGGAGCUAGCCGUCGAAGGUGGGAUAAAUGAUUGGGGUGAAGUCGUAACAAGGUAGCCGUAUCGGAAGGUGCGGCUGGAUCACCUCCUUU
rnacentral:rRNA from 1 species